UAUCUGGUUGAUUCUGCCAGUAGUCAUAUGCUUGUCUCAAAGAUUAAGCCAUGCAUGUCUAAGUAUAAGCACUCUUUUACUGUGAAACUGCGAAUGGCUCAUUAAAUCAGUUAUCGUUUAUUUGAUAGUACCCUACUACAUGGAUACCUGUGGUAAUUCUAGAGCUAAUACAUGCGCAAAACCCCGACUUCGGAAGGGGUGUAUUUAUUAGAUAAAAAACCAAUGCCCUUCGGGGCUCCUUGGUGAUUCAUAAUAACUUCACGAAUCGCAUGGCCUUGCGCCGGCGAUGGUUCAUUCAAAUUUCUGCCCUAUCAACUUUCGAUGGUAGGAUAGUGGCCUACCAUGGUGGCAACGGGUAACGGGGAAUUAGGGUUCGAUUCCGGAGAGGGAGCCUGAGAAACGGCUACCACAUCCAAGGAAGGCAGCAGGCGCGCAAAUUACCCAAUCCCGAUACGGGGAGGUAGUGGGUCUUGUAAUUGGAAUGAGAACAAUUUAAAUCCCUUAACGAGGAACAAUUGGAGGGCAAGUCUGGUGCAAGCAGCCGCGGUAAUUCCAGCUCCAAUAGCGUAUAUUAAAGUUGUUGCAGUUAAAAAGCUCGUAGUUGAACCUUGGGCCCGUCCUGCCGGUCCGCCUCACCGCGAGUACUGGUCCGGAUGGGCCUUUCUUUCUGGGGAAUCCCAUGGCCUUCACUGGCUGUGGCGGGGAACCAGGACUUUUACUGUGAAAAAAUUAGAGUGUUCAAAGCAGGCCUUUGCUCGGAUACAUUAGCAUGGAAUAAUAGAAUAGGACGUGCGGUUCUAUUUUGUUGGUUUCUAGGACCGCCGUAAUGAUUAAUAGGGAUAGUCGGGGGG
rnacentral:ncRNA from 1 species